rnacentral:misc_RNA from 1 species
ACACCCUCAAGCGCAGCUUGGUGUUGGGCGUCUGUCCCGCUCUCCGUAGCGCGGACUCGCCUCAAAGUCAUUGGCGGCGGUCGUGCCGGCUCCUCGCGCAGCACAUUUGCGCUUCUCGGAGGCCCGGCGGAUCGGCAUCCAGCAAGCUACUUUUUAUG